AUGGGAAUUGGCAUUGUCAUAAGAAAUCACCUGGGAGUGGUCCUAGCAGCCAAAAGAAGAUAUGUCAAUCAGGAAGUAAAUCCUGAACUUGCAGAAGCCAUUGCCAUGCGUUGUGCAAUGGAAUUUGCUGAAGAAGCUGGCUUCCAAAGUAUUGUAGUGGCUUCUGACUGUGAGACUUUGGUCACCAAAGUGAAGAAUGUUGCAAUGGAUAGAUCACAGAUAGGUGCCAUAACUUUUGAUAUUAAGAGUAGGGCAUCAAACUUUGUAUCUUGUUUAUUCACUCAUAUCAACCGGUCAUGUAAUGAGGCAGCUCAUGUCCUGGCAAGAUCUUCUGAACAUGAUUGUGGUUCCUGCUGGUUUAAUGUAGUCCCUGGUGUAAUCAGGACCAUCAUAUGUAAUGAACAAUCGUUGAUUGAAUAA
rnacentral:rRNA from 1 species